rnacentral:rRNA from 1 species
GACGAACGCUGGCGGCGUGCCUAAUACAUGCAAGUUGAGCGAUGAAGAUUGGUGCUUGCACCAAUUUGAAGAGCAGCGAACGGGUGAGUAACGCGUGGGGAAUCUGCCUUUGAGCGGGGGACAACAUUUGGAAACGAAUGCUAAUACCGCAUAACAACUUUAAACAUAAGUUUUAAGUUUGAAAGAUGCAAUUGCAUCACUCAAAGAUGAUCCCGCGUUGUAUUAGCUAAUUGGUGAGGUAAAGGCUCACCAAGGCGAUGAUACAUAGCCGACCUGAGCGGGUGAUCCGCCCAAUUGGGACUGGGAACCGGCCCAAACUCCUACGGGAGGCAGCAGUAGGGAAUCUUCGGCAAUGGACGAAAGUCUGGCCGAGCACCGCCGCGUGAGUGAAGGAGGUUUUCGGAUCGUAAAACUCUGUUGGUAGAGAAGAACGUUGGUGAGAGUGGAAAGCUCAUCAAGUGACGGUAACUACACAGAAAGGGACGGCUAACUACGUG